rnacentral:rRNA from 1 species
CCUACGGGAGGCAGCAGUGAGGAAUAUUGGUCAAUGGGCGUAAGCCUGAACCAGCCAAGUAGCGAGAGGGAUGAAGGUGCUAUGGAGCGUAAACUUCUUUUAUAAGGGAAUAAAGUGGGGGACGAGUCAUAUUUUAUAUGUACCUGAUGAAUAAGGAUCGGCUAACUCCGUGCCAGCAGCCGCGGUAAUACGGAGGAUCCGCGCGUUAUCCGGAUUUAUUGGGUUUAAAGGGUGCGUAGGCGGCCUUUUAAGUCAGCGGUGAAAGUUUGUGGCUCAACCCUAGAAUUGCCGUUGAAACUGGGAGUCUUGAGUAUGUUUGAGGCAGGCGGAAUUCGUGGUGUAGCGGUGAAAUGCUUAGAUAUCACGCAGAACCCCGAUUGCGAAGGCAGCCUGCCAAGCCAUGACUGACGCUGAUGCACGAAAGCGUGGGGAUCAAACAGGAUUAGAUACCCCUGUAGUC